UACGUAGGGUGCAGGCGUUAAUCGGAAUUACUGGGCGUAAAGCGUGCGCAGGCGGUUUGCUAAGACAGGUGUGAAAUCCCCGGGCUUAACCUGGGAACUGCGCUUGUAACUGGCAAGCUAGAAUGUGGCAGAGGGGGGUGGAAUUCCAGGUGUAGCAGUGAAAUGCGUAGAGAUCUGGAGGAACACCGAUGGCGAAGGCAGCCCCCUGGGCUAACACUGACGCUCAUGCACGAAAGCGUGGGGAGCAAACAGG
rnacentral:rRNA from 1 species